GCUAGCGGCGCGCUUAACGCAUGCAAGUCGAGCGAUGAGGCUCCCUUCGGGGAGUCAUCAGCGGCAGACGGGUGAGUAACACGUAGAUAACCUGCCCUCAAGACGGGGACAACCGGUGGAAACAGCGGCUAAUACCCGAUAUGCUCACAGGAUCGGGAGAUUGAGUGAGGAAAGGCUUCGGUGCUUGAGGAGGGAUCUGCGGCCCAUCAGCUAGUUGGUGAGGUAACGGCUCACCAAGGCGAAGACGGGUAGGGGGUGUGAGAGCAUGGCCCCCCACAAUGGGACUGAGACACGGCCCAUACUCCUACGGGAGGCAGCAGCGGGGAAUAUUGCGCAAUGGACGGAAGUCAGACGCAGCGACGCCGCGUGGGUGAGGAAGGCCUUCGGGUUGUAAAGCCCUUUUCAGGGGAGCGAGAAAUGACGGUACCCUUGGAAUAAGCGUCGGCUAACUACGUGCCAGCAGCCGCGGUAAGACGUAGGACGCAAGCGUUAUCCGGAUUUACUGGGCGUAAAGCGCCUGUAGGCGGUCAAGUAAGUCGGAUGUGAAAGCCCCGUGCUCAACGCGGGGAAGCCAUUCGAUACUGCGUGACUAGAGAACGGCAGAGGGAAACGGAAUUUCUGGUGUAGCGGUAAAAUGCGCAGAGAUCAGAAAGAACACCGAUGGCGAAGGCAGUUUCCUAGGCCGCAUCUGACGCUGAGAGGCGAAAGCUAGGGGAGCAAACAGGAUUAGAGACCCUGGUAGUCCUAGCUGUAAACGAUGGAUGCUAGGUGUGGGGCGG
rnacentral:rRNA from 1 species